rnacentral:rRNA from 1 species
AGAGUUUGAUCCUGGCUCAGAACGAACGCUGGCGGCAUGCCUAACACAUGCAAGUCGAACGCGUGUAGCAAUACACGAGUGGCGCACGGGUGAGUAACGCGUGGGAACCUGCCCUGGAGUGGGGGAUAACCCGGCGAAAGCCGGGCUAAUACCGCAUACGACCUUCGGGUGAAAGAUUUAUCGCUCUGGGAGGGGCCCGCGUCGGAUUAGCUAGUUGGUGAGGUAACGGCUCACCAAGGCGAUGAUCCGUAGCUGGUCUGAGAGGAUGAUCAGCCACACUGGGACUGAGACACGGCCCAGACUCCUACGGGAGGCAGCAGUGGGGAAUAUUGGACAAUGGGGGCAACCCUGAUCCAGCAAUGCCGCGUGAGUGAUGAAGGCCUUAGGGUUGUAAAGCUCUUUCGGCGGGGACGAUGAUGACGGUACCCGCAGAAGAAGCCCCGGCUAACUUCGUGCCAGCAGCCGCGGUAAUACGAAGGGGGCGAGCGUUGUUCGGAAUUACUGGGCGUAAAGGGCGCGCAGGCGGCCUGAGAAGACAGAUGUGAAAGCCCCGGGCUCAACCUGGGAAUAGCAUUUGAUACUCUGAGGCUGGAGUGCGGGAGAGGAGAGUGGAAUUCCCAGUGUAGAGGUGAAAUUCGUAGAUAUUGGGAAGAACACCGGUGGCGAAGGCGGCUCUCUGGACCGUAACUGACGCUGAGGCGCGAAAGCGUGGGGAGCAAACAGGAUUAGAUACCCUAGUAGUCC